GGGAGCUUGCUCCUGGAUUAGUGGCGAACGGGUGAGUAACACGUGAGUAACCUGCCCUUGACUCUGGGAUAAGCCUGGGAAACUGGGUCUAAUACCGGAUAUGACCUUCCAUCGCAUGGUGGUUGGUGGAAAGCUUUUGUGGUUUUGGAUGGACUCGCGGCCUAUCAGCUUGUUGGUGGGGUAAUGGCCUACCAAGGCGACGACGGGUAGCCGGCCUGAGAGGGUGACCGGCCACACUGGGACUGAGACACGGCCCASACUCCUACGGGAGGCAGCAGUGGGGAAUAUUGCACAAUGGGCGCAAGCCUGAUGCASCGACGCCGCGUGAGGGAUGACGGCCUUCGGGUUGUAAACCUCUUUCAGUAGGGAAGAAGCGAAAGUGACGGUACCUGMAKAWGAASCGCCGGCUAACUACGUGCCAGCAGCCGCGGUAAUACKUAGGGCGCAWGCUUUAUCCUCYACUUCUUGKGMGKAAMKASCUCGUAGGCGGUUUGUCRCGUCUGCCGUGAAAGUCYGGGGCUCCCUCCGGAUCUGCGGUGGGUACGAGCAGACUAGAGUGAUGUACGRGAGASUGGAAUUUCUGCUGUAGCGSGGAAAUACACAAAK
rnacentral:rRNA from 1 species